rnacentral:rRNA from 1 species
CCUACGGGAGGCAGCAGUGAGGAAUAUUGGUCAAUGGACGAGAGUCUGAACCAGCCAAGUAGCGUGAAGGAUGACUGCCCUAUGGGUUGUAAACUUCUUUUAUAAAGGAAUAAAACGAGGCACGUGUGCCUUUUUGCAUGUACUUUAUGAAUAAGGAUCGGCUAACUCCGUGCCAGCAGCCGCGGUAAUACGGAGGAUCCGAGCGUUAUCCGGAUUUAUUGGGUUUAAAGGGAGCGUAGAUGGGUUGUUAAGUCAGUUGUGAAAGUUUGCGGCUCAACCGGAAAAUUGCAAUUGAUACUGGCAGUCUUGAGUACAGUUGAGGCAGGCGGAAUUCGUGGUGUAGCGGUGAAAUGCUUAGAUAUCACGAAGAACCCCGAUUGCGAAGGCAGCUUACUAAACUGUGACUGACGUUGAGGCCCGAAAGCGUGGGGAGCAAACAGGAUUAGAUACCCUAGUAGUC